rnacentral:rRNA from 1 species
AACGAACGCUGGCGGCAGGCCUAACACAUGCAAGUCGAGCGGACCUUUCGGGGUCAGCGGCGGACGGGUGAGUAACGCGUGGGAAUAUGCCCUUCUCUACGGAAUAGUCCUGGGAAACUGGGGGUAAUACCGUAUACGCCCUUUGGGGGAAAGAUUUAUCGGGGAAGGAUUAGCCCGCGUUGGAUUAGGUAGUUGGUGGGGUAAUGGCCUACCAAGCCGACGAUCCAUAGCUGGUUUGAGAGGAUGAUCAGCCACACUGGGACUGAGACACGGCCCAGACUCCUACGGGAGGCAGCAGUGGGGAAUCUUAGACAAUGGGGGCAACCCUGAUCUAGCCAUGCCGCGUGAGUGAUGAAGGCCUUAGGGUUGUAAAGCUCUUUCAGCUGGGAGGAUAAUGACGGUACCAGCAGAAGAAGCCCCGGCUAACUCCGUG